AUUCAGCAAUUCCCAUCCCCCACGCAGCACGCGCUGCAUCGCGCCGACGCCAUUACUGCUCUCUGACUGCUUUGCUGUAAUUUUCGAGAGAAGACGUUUGCCGUCAGUGUAACCAAGCUCAAACUGCAGAGUUUGGCAAUGGGCUGUGUGCUCACGAUACAGGAAGAUUACGACGACGAUGUGAAAUGGCUUAUAGCAGAGAAGCUAAGGUUAGUGUAAAUAAGGUACGUUAGCCUGGGACAGAUCUCCAUUUGAACAGUAAACAAGGCUGUUGUACUUUUAACAAUACAUAAAAUACAAUAAUAGUACAACAAUAUUGAAUAUUUAUCAUGCAAACAGGAGUUUCUGCCUUAUAUAAAUCUGCAACAGUUUGCAUUCGGGUGUUAUUACAAAUCAUACAAAUUAUUAUGACUAUACAAAUGUUUUUGCCUAAAUUAGAAUUUUAAUUUUUUUAAAGUAAUAAGCAUUUUUCUUACAGAAAGUAAUCGGACGGUCUUGGAUGUUGAUGCAGUGGAGCAGAAAUUGGCAGACCCCAACUUCCAGAAACAAGUGGUUGCUGUGGUGGCAGUACUGUGGAUGAAGCCAGGAGAAGAAUGAGGGCCUUCCUUUUGGACCACCCUGCAUCAAGAGAGUUCAAUUUUGUUGGCCGGCAUGGAAAGUGAGAGUUUCAGGGGCUCAGACUGCUUGAGGUUGUAUAAGGAAGCUUGAAAAAAAUUCUCUUAACCAAAUUACCAGAAAAGAGGAGGAAAGUCAGCGUCAAAGUGGCUCAUCGGUGACGGGAGGAAACCGCUCUGCAAAGUCACGUAGUAGAGAGUAAGAUAGGGCCGUUGGGAGAGCGAGGACAGAGGUGUGAGGAGCUGCACGGUUGGUUUGUUUGUUUGUGAAAUGUAUUUUAGAGUUUUCAGAUAUGUGUAUACAAACGAUACAAGUUAUUCCAAAUAAUGUUUGGCAGGAGCUUCACUUUAACUUUUUUUAAGAUGCUUAUGUUUUAUAAAGUUGUAAAUACACAAGUUAUAAUGGUCAUGUUCAAAUUAUUCCAACGAAACCUUGUUUAAAGCAUGCAGAAUACAAGUUAUGAAGAUUUUUAUUUUUACAAGAAAUAAAGUUUUUCAGGAGCUUAAAAUUAACUCUUUUUUAAAAAAAAUUUUUUAUAUUUACUUGUUUUAUAAAGUUGUG